GUCGAGAAUCUUCCGCAAUGCGCGAAAGCGUGACGGAGCGACACCGCGUGAUGGAUGAAGUCCUUCGGUGCGUAAACAUCUUUUAUAAAGGAGGAAAUUUUUGACGUUACUUUAUGAAUAAGGGGCUCCCAAUCUCGUGCCAGCAGGAGCGGUAAUACGAGAGCCUCAAGCGUUAUCCGGAAUCAUUGGGCGUAAAGGGUGCGUAGGUGGUUUGAUUAGUCUCCCGUUAAAACUUCGAGCUUAACUCGAAAAGAGCGGGGGAAACGGUCAAACUAGAGUAUGUGAGAGGUGUGUGGAACUCAUGGUGUAGGGGUGAAAUCCGUUGAUAUCAUGGGGAACACCAAAAGCGAAGGCAGCACACUGGCACAUCACUGACACUGAGGCACGAAACCUAAGGUAGCGAAUGGGAUUAGAAACCCGGGUAGUCC
rnacentral:rRNA from 1 species